rnacentral:lncRNA from 1 species
AGCUGUGAAUCCAUCCAGUCCUGGACUUUUCUUUCUGGGAGACUUUUUAUUAUCACUUCAAACUUGCUACUAGUUAUUGUUUUGUUCCAGUUUUCUAUUCCUUCCUGACUCAAUCUUGCAGAGUUGGCUGAGAAGGAGGGUGCCGAAGAAGGGGUUGAAGAAGGUGCUGAAGAAGGAGGACUAACGGUUGUCUGGCUCACUCUGCACUGAAGUAACCAAAGGGCUGGCUUAUUCAGCAGCAAUGCUGGGAGCAUCCUUGGGACUAGAAGAUUGAAAACUGUUACCUCUGUGGUCUCUGAGGCUGGGUUCAGACUAGAGCAAUUGUGCAGUGAAUUUGGCCCAUCUUGGGGACUUUGGCUCUCAAAUGGCAGGGACUGUUCAGACUAAACUAGAGGUUAUUUUACAAGGACCAUCAAAAUUCUCAUUUGCAUGUGUGAAAUUCCUGUGGAGAGGCUGGCUUUUUCAAUCAAGCUGGUUGGGCCAGAUUAUAAGUGGAGUCUGCUAGAGUGCAUGU